AUGAGUCACCCACAACAACCACAAUUGAGGCAACAACCACAGCUGAAGCCACAACAACCACAACUGAGUCACCCACAACAACCACAACUGAGGUCACAACAACCACAACUGAGUCACCCACAACAACCACACCUGAAGCCACAACAACCACAGCUGAAGCCACAACAACCACAACUGAGUCACCCACAACAACCACAACUGAGGCAACAACAACCACAGCUGAGGCCACAACAACCACAGGUGAAGAAACCACAACUGAGACACCCACAACAACCACAACUGAAGCCACAACGACGACAACUGAGUCACCCACAACAACCACAAUUGAGGCAACAACAACCACAGCUGAGGCAACAACAACAACAGCUGAAACCACAACGACCACAACUGAGGCCACAACAACCACAACUGAGUCACCCACAACAACCACAACUGAGUCACCCACAACAACCACAACUGAGGCAACAAAAACCACGACUGAGGCCACAAAAACCACAGCUGAAGAAACCACAACUGAGACACCCACAACAACCACAAUUGAGGCAACAACGACAGCUGAAGCCACAACAACCACAACUGAGUCACCCACAACGAUCACAACUGAGGUCACAACAACCACAACUGAGUCACCCACAACAACCACAAUUAAGGCCACAACAACAACAGCUGAAGCCACAACAACCACAACUGAGUCACCCACAACAACCACAACUGAGGCAACAACAACCACGACUGAGGCCACAAAAACCACAGGUGAAGAAACCACAACUGAGACACCCACAACAACCACAACUGAAGCCACAACGACGACAACUGAGUCACCCACAACAACCACAAUUGAGGCAACAACAACCACAGCUGAGGCAACAACAACAACAGCUGAAACCACAACGACCACAACUGAGGCCACAACAACCACAACUGAGUCACCCACAACAACCACAACUGAGUCACCCACAAAAACCACAACUGAGGCAACAAAAACCACGACUGAGGCCACAAAAACCACAGCUGAAGAAACCACAACUGAGACACCCACAACAACCACAACUGAAGCCACAACGACGACAACUGAGUCACCCACAACAACCACAACUGAGUCAACAACAACCCCAAUUGAGGUCACAACAACCACAGCUGAAGCAACAACAACCACAACUGAGUCACCCACAACAACCACAACUGAAGCCACAACAACCACAACUGAGUCACCCAUAUCGACCACAACUCAGUCACCCACAACUUCCACAACUGAAGUCACAACAACCACAACUGAGUCACCCACAACAACUACAACUGAGGCAACAACAACCACGACUGAGGCCACAAAAACCACAGCUGAAGAAACCACAACUGAGUCACCCACAACAACCACAACUGAAGCCGCAACGACCACAACUGAGUCACCCACAACAACCACAAUUGAGGCAAAGACCACAACAGCUGAGGCCACAACAACAACGACUGAGUCACCCACAACGACCACAACUGAGUUACCCACAUCGACCACAACUGAGUCACCCACAACUACCACAACUGAGGUCACAACAACCACAAAUGAGUCACCCACAACAACCACAAUUGAGGCAACAACGACAUCUGAAGCCACAACAUCCACAACUGAGUCACCCACAACAACCACAACUGAGGCAACAACAACCACGACUGAGGCCACAAAAACCACAGCUGAAGCAACCACAACUGAGUCACCCACAACAACCACAAUUGAGGCAACGACAACCACGACUGAGGCCACAAAAACCACAGCUGACGAAACCAAAACUGAGACACCCACAACAACCACGACUGAAACCACAACGACGACAACUGAGUCACCCACAACAACCACAAUUGAGGCAACAACAACCACAGCUGAGGCAACAACAAAAACAGCUGAAACCACAACGACCACAACUGAGGCCACAACAACCACAACUGAGUCACCCACAACAACCACAACUGAGUCAACAACAACCCCAACUGAGGUAA
rnacentral:lncRNA from 1 species